GACGAACGCUGGCGGCGUGCCUAAUACAUGCAAGUCGAGCGCAGGAAAUCAUCCGAACCCUUCGGGGGGACGUUGGUGGAAUGAGCGGCGGACGGGUGAGUAACACGUAAAGAACCUGCCCUCAGGUCUGGGAUAACCACGAGAAAUCGGGGCUAAUACCGGAUGGGUCAUCGGACCGCAUGGUCCGAGGAUGAAAGGCGCUUCAGCGUCGCCUGGGGAUGGCUUUGCGGUGCAUUAGCUAGUUGGUGGGGUAAUGGCCCACCAAGGCGACGAUGCAUAGCCGACCUGAGAGGGUGAUCGGCCACACUGGGACUGAGACACGGCCCAGACUCCUACGGGAGGCAGCAGUAGGGAAUCUUCCACAAUGGACGAAAGUCUGAUGGAGCAACGCCGCGUGAACGAUGAAGGCCUUCGGGUCGUAAAGUUCUGUUGUAAGGGAAGAACAAGUGCCGCAGGCAAUGGCGGCACCUUGACGGUACCUUGCGAGAAAGCCACGGCUAACUACGUGCCAGCAGCCGCCGUAAGAC
rnacentral:rRNA from 1 species